UCGAGACAAAUAGCGAGCGUGAGAACGGGCGGCGUGGGCUGAGCGUUCCACUUGGCCCCGGGGGGGCAGGCCCAGCCCAACCGCACCGCGGCCUCCGUGGUCAGCACCGGGACCAGAAGCCAGACGGCAGCGGCAGCAAACCUGUUGGACCACGCGAGGCCAAGCACCUCCGCCGCGGGCCGGCUGGGCGGCUGAUGGGUAGAGCCCCCUGCCGCUCCAUGAGCCGGAGAGGGAUGGUGGCGGCGCGCCUACUUGAAACCCGAACACUACAGAGGCAGCAGCGGGGCGCGUGAGGAAUUGAAUAGAGAUUCGGGGCCUUGACGGGGGCCCGCCGAGAGGAACAAUCGUCUAGGUCGCCCAUUGGCCCGCAGCCCGGCCCGACGUCAGCGAUGACAGCAGAAGUGCAGAUACAUCUGAUUCAGCCAAAUUCACCGACAGUUAUGUGGCCCCAUGGAGCUCCCUCCCAGAUGCAGCUUUCUCUUGAAGCACUGAAAACAUCUGGACACAUCCUGGUGCUAAAUGAAGAUUAUCUGCUACAGCUUAUGCCCAGAGCAGGAUCCUGGAUGCUGAGGGCCACUCACUGCACAGAACCUGACCAAGCAUGACCCUUGUUGCCUGGAUGCUCUGCACCUAGAUCUGCAGUCACUUGAUCCAUCUUUUCUUCCUUGUUUCUGACCAGGUUACCACCCCAAACCAGGGCCAUAUCUCUUCCUAGGCUAUUCACAAACAGACCUCAGGAUUCCUGCAGUGAGAGGUUGUCUCUGUUCUUGGAGGGGGGGCGGGGGGGGAGUUAAAGAACUUAAGCCCCAGGAGCCCACCCUAUGUUCAAGCACAUAUUGUACAAAGGAGAUGAAAUCUAUCAGGAUUUUGGAGAUAAAGGAGGAUGGAUGUCCCUCCCCUCUGUUAUGCAAGUUUGGGCUUCAGUCAUCAUUAAUGGAACUAAGUAUGAGAGAAAAUAUACUUGGAUAGAAAUUAAUUUUCAAGUAAUGGCUCUGCAAAACAUCUUUCAACAAAAGAUUAAGAAACAAGUCUAAAAGAUCUUUCAGAACAGCCCUGAGGAAUUAAAACAACUGAAUUUACAUAAUAUCCACACCUGUCUUGAGAAUUCUGCCAUCGGAUCAUCCCAAAAUAAUAGAAGAGAGUCAUUUCCUGAUUUAUCAUUUAACUUUUGUUAAGGAGGUUGCUUUUCCUACCAACAAAGAAACACUUUGGAGGCAACUGUCAGAUGGUGGUGUAGUUGAAAUGAGGUAAAGUACAUGCUUAGAAGGGGAAAUAUCCAACCCUAAAUCAUAUGCUUAUUCUAAAUAGAAUAUUAAAUUAAAUUCUUCACAAUGGAGGUAUUCCUGACCGAGCAGCUGUCAGUCACUCCCUGUUCAGACACCACAUUGUGGGAACGUCGUCGCAGCCACAUUGCAGAAGGCUGGUGUCCCUGGUAAAGAUGAUGCAUAUCAUGUAAACCCCAUCACCAAGAUCAAAGUGUGCUCCUUUCAUGGAAGCCAAUACAUGUCAAACCUCAUUCCAAUCAAAUCGUCUGGAAAUGAAUUCAAGAUGAAUAUGUCAUAGAAUAAUGUGACAGUGGAACUGCAGAAGGUCAGGGGUGGUUGUUUCAAUGAGAGAGUCGUCAAAUAUUAAUUCUAGAAUGUCCAGAUGAGUAGGCAUUGAGGGGGAUUAGUUGGUUGCUGGUGGGACGUUGUGUCGCUGAUUUGUGUGCAAAUGCAUCAAACACCAAGGUGUUCUUCUAAGUUUCAUCUGAACUUCAGAAACACCCGCAGACUUACUACCUAACACAAGCAAAAGACAAAACAACACUACUUCGAAAAAAAAAAAAAGAAACUUCAGCAAAUCAAUAUUCAAAAGAGGAUUUUAACUUACUUGACUCUUUCAGGGCAUUUCGGUAAAGCCGUAAUCGUUUCCUCAUCACCAAUGAAGUCUUGUAUCUCAUUUUCUGACUUUGAGCCUGUUAGGAAAGAAAAAAGGGACAGUCACUGGCUAAAUAAUUUCAUACAUGUUUGUAUGGCAAGAUUGUGUGGCCUGAAUGUACAAAAGAAGGUGUUGGUCUCAAGAGUCUUUCAGCCUUUCAAAUUUGGAAGUGAAAGAAAAGAACUCUGCUUGGAACUACCCAUAUUUAUUACAAAACAAUAUAUCCUUAAUGAUAAAAAUUAUUAAAAUCAUCAUUUCUCAACUAGAUUUUUAUCUGAAACUCAUUUGUUGAUCUCCCUUGCAGGUAGAAUUAAGUACCCUUUCAGUCAGUCAGUUUUCAAACAUUUCUAACUUCUAGAAUCUGAAUUUAUUAUGUGAGAAGCCCCCAUUAUUUUCUUUAAAUUUAUUAAUUGAGUUUAGUGAGAUGAAAUGGGAGAGGGCUGGGAGUUCUCUGCAAGGUUGCAGGUUAAAGAUUGAGUUGUCACUGGUGGAAGUGAGAGGAAAGGAAUUUCUUUGCAGAUUUGUAGACCCUGUUCUGCUCUGGUGGUGUGGGAUCCAUCACAUGGCUUCCUCCCCAGACCCAUUUGGAAGCCAUCACUGGUUGAUUUUUCAAACAAAGUCAACAUAAAAUUCACCAGAUUGGGGGAGGGGAAAGGUAUAAUUUCUAUCAUCUGGUCCUGGCUGUCCCAUUUCUUAGUUAAGACCGUCAUAAACAAUCCAUCCUCAACCCACCGAGAUAUUUGAUUUCUUAUCAGAUUCACUUUGUGGACAGAGCUGGCAAGCCUUUGGCCACCUUAAAGCCUGAAACCCACGCUGGGGACCUCUGCAUCUGUCAGGGGGAGGCUAAAGGCAGUGGAGCAGCCAAACAGCAGCAAUCCACCCAGCCCCAGCUCUCCAUUUGGCCUAGAAAGACAAACAGUCAUUGAAAAGGUCUCAGGCUGGACAAACACAGCAAGCCCUCUGUCAAUGAGAAAGUCUGCCUGUCUUGACACUCCAGCCCACAGAUCAAGCGGUUGUUUAACUUGUUGAACCACAGGCCAAAUCCAAGUGGGGCUCUGCUAUCUCAAAGGCUUUCCAGUUCUGUAUGUUCAAAGGUCUGUUUCUCUCUCCCUCGACUCCCAACCUGGGCUUGAAGUAGCUUGGGUGUUUUCACCCUUCCCUCUCCCUUUUUUUCUAGGUCCAAGCCUGAGGGGUGUGGGAGUG